ACAUAGGGCAGGGGAUCUUGGUCAGUGACGUGUAUUUAUCCGAUCCUGAAAUGGGACUCGGGCUCUUUCCUCUAUUACAUCACAAUUAGUCAAAUCCUCCCUAGAAUGUGUGCUCUGUGCAUAGCCCAUGGACACAUGCUCACUCCCUUCUGAUUCCUCACCUAACCCCCUGACAUCUUUAUCUUUAAUGGCUCCUCUUAUAAAUCUCUUCCAGGGCUCUGGGCCUUUCCUCUCUCUCUCUCUCCCUUUUUUCUGAAUUAUAAUUAUUUAUGUCAAAACUCCCAGAGGGCAGGCAACACAUUUUAUUCAAGUUUGAAUUGUGGGCAACUAGCACAGAACCUGGAACCCAAAUACAUAAUUCUGUGAUAACUACACAAGUGUCUCAGACAACCAUCUAGCAAAUUAAAAUAGCUGAUGGCCCUGUGGAAUAUCAGAUUCAAAAUAAUUCUAAAUUUUCCUGGAAUAACUGAAGUCUUCAAGAGAGAAGUGAAGGUUGUCUCUUCAUCAUGUGAAAAUCACUACUGAGGACGUAUGUGUGCACACUCUCCAGGAGCGCAUGUGUAGUGAACAGGGCCACGUGCUGAGGCAAACAGGGUAGCAGAGGCCAGGUGUGGAAGGGACACUGGAAACUCAGCCACAGCACACCCUCUGUACCUUCGGAAUCUUGUACCAUAGUCACAUAGUAUUCAUUCCCCAAAGUGCCAUGUGGAGAUUUUUUUAAAGAAAUCAACCUAAAAAGACUUACUUCCUCCACAGUACAGUGGGGACGCCUCAGCCCCUUGCCACCCUCUUCAGAAACCAUCUCGGUGACAGCCUGCUCCUGAGGUCUCCACAGGGAGGAACUCUCUGCAGUGCCUUUGCUAUGGCGACGGCCACUUGGUCUUCUAUUAUAGCCUUCUGAGUUCAAAGAAAAACUGAGAAAAGAAGAAAAAGAACGUACCGUCAAAGCGCUUCAAGUACCGACCCUCACGCUCCUAGUCACUCUGAGACUGCUGUGACCACACCUGCUGUGUCCCACAGGGGCAUCCGUCAAAGUGGGAUCUCCCCAGCGUCCCACUGCAGCACGGCCAUGUGCAGCCACACCAAAGCCCUCUCCCUCGCGGCCACUUUCCAACAUCAGCCCCGGGUUCACCUGCUUAUUGCCAUCACCCUCCAGGACUAUUCCUUUAGUCACUGGGCAACACAGGAAUUAAUUACUGGUGAGAUUAU